ACGGCCAUAUUGCGUUGAAACACUGGUUCCCGUAUGAUCUUCAAAGUAAAACGACGUUAGUAACAAGAUGGGUGACCACUUGGGAAAACCAGGUGCUGUAA